rnacentral:rRNA from 1 species
UAGGGAAUCUUCGGCAAUGGACGAAAGUCUGACCGAGCAAAGCCGUGUGAGUGAAGAAGGUAUUCGGAACGUAAAACUCUGUUGUUAGAGAAGAACAAGGACGUUAGUAACUGAACGUCCCCUGACGGUAUCUAACCAGAAAGCCACGGCUAACUACGUGCCAGCAGCCGCGGUAAUACGUAGGUGGCAAGCGUUGUCCGGAUUUAUUGGGCGUAAAGCGAGCGCAGGCGGUUUCUUAAGUCUGAUGUGAAAGCCCCCGGCUCAACCGGGGAGGGUCAUUGGAAACUGGGAGACUUGAGUGCAGAAGAGGAGAGUGGAAUUCCAUGUGUAGCGGUGAACUGCGUAGAUAUAUGGAGGAACACCAGUGGCGAAGGCGGCUCUCUGGUCUGUAACUGACGCUGAGGCUCGAAAGCGUGGGGAGCAAACAGG